rnacentral:rRNA from 1 species
AAGAUUAAGCCAUGCAUGUCUAAGUAUAAGCAAUUAUACAGCGAAACUGCGAAUGGCUCAUUAUAUAAGUUAUCGUUUAUUUGAUAGUACCUUACUACUUGGAUAACCGUGGUAAUUCUAGAGCUAAUACAUGCUAAAAAUCCCGACUUCGGAAGGGAUGUAUUUAUUAGAUUAAAAACCAAUGCCCUCCGGGGCUCACUGGUGAUUCAUGAUAACUCCUCGAAUCGCAUGGCCUUGCGCCGGCGAUGGUUCAUUCAAAUUUCUUCCCUAUCAACUUUCGAUGUUUGGGUAUUGGCCAAACAUGGUUGCAACGGGUAACGGAGGGUUAGGGCUCGACCCCGGAGAAGGAGCCUGAGAAACGGCUACUACAUCCAAGGAAGGCAGCAGGCGCGCAAAUUACCCAAUCCCGACUCGGGGAGGUAGUGACAAUAAAUACUGAUACAGGGCUCUUUUGGGUCUUGUAAUUGGAAUGAGUACAAUUUAAAUCCCUUAACGAGGAACAAUUGGAGGGCAAGUCUGGUGCCAGCAGCCGCGGUAAUUCCAGCUCCAAUAGCGUAUAUUAAAGUUGUUGUGGUUAAAAAGCUCGUAGUUGAACCUUGGGCCUGGCUGGCCGGUCCGCCUCACCGCGUGUACUGGUCCGGCCGGGCCUUUCCCUCUGUGGAACCCCAUGCCCUUCACUGGGUGUGGCGGGGAAACAGGACUUUUACUGUGAAAAAAUUAGAGUGCUCCAGGCAGGCCUAUGCUCGAAUACAUUAGCAUGGAAUAAUAGAAUAGGACGUGUGGUUCUAUUUUGUUGGUUUCUAGGACCGCCGUAAUGAUUAAUAGGGACAGUCGGGGGCAUCAGUAUUCAAUUGUCAGAGGUGAAAUUCUUGGAUUUAUUGAAGACUAACUACUGCGAAAGCAUUUGCCAAGGAUGUUUUCAUUAAUCAGGAACGAAAGUUAGGGGAUCGAAGACGAUCAGAUACCGUCGUAGUCUUAACCAUAAACUAUGCCGACUAGGGAUCGGACGGUGUUAUAUUUUGACCCGUUCGGCACCUUACGAGAAAUCAAAGUGCUUGGCUCCAGGGGAGUUGCCCACC